rnacentral:rRNA from 1 species
UACGAAGGGGGCGAGCGUUGUUCGGAAUUACUGGGCGUAAAGGGCGCGUAGGCGGCCGAUCAAGUCAGAUGUGAAAGUCCUGGGCUUAACCUGGGGACUGCAUUUGAUACUGAUUGGCUUGAAUGCAGGAGAGGAUAGCGGAAUUCCCAGUGUAGAGGUGAAAUUCGUAGAUAUUGGGAAGAACACCGGUGGCGAAGGCGGCUAUCUGGACUGUGAUUGAUGCUGAGGCGCGAAAGCGUGGGGAGCAAACAGG